GACGAACGCUGGCGGCGUGCCUAAUACAUGCAAGUCGAACGCACUCUCGUUUAGAUUGAAGGAGCUUGCUCCUGAUUGAUAAACAUUUGAGUGAGUGGCGGACGGGUGAGUAACACGUGGGUAACCUGCCCUAAAGUGGGGGAUAACAUUUGGAAACAGAUGCUAAAUACCGCAUAAAACCUAAACACCGCAUGGUGUAGGGUUGAAAGAUGGUUUCGGCUAUCACUUUAGGAUGGACCCGCGGUGCAUUAGUUAGUUGGUGAGGUAAAGGCUCACCAAGACCGUGAUGCAUAGCCGACCUGAGAGGGUAAUCGGCCACACUGGGACUGAGACACGGCCCAGACUCCUACGGGAGGCAGCAGUAGGGAAUCUUCCACAAUGGACGAAAGUCUGAUGGAGCAACGCCGCGUGAGUGAAGAAGGUUUUCGGAUCGUAAAAACUCUGUUGUUGGAGAAGAAUGUAUCUGAUAGUAACUGAUCAGGUAGUGACGGUAUCCAACCAGAAAG
rnacentral:rRNA from 1 species